rnacentral:lncRNA from 1 species
UUUAAGUGAGCAGUAGUGUUUUUGAUGAGUUAUGCAUGUAUAUAUGUUUAUGUGUUAUGUUUGUUUUGUUGUUUGGGGUUAUUAGCUAGUCUUGGACCCCUGUGAUCAUAUACAUGAGUAUAUGUAUGUUGAGGAGGUGAAGUUUGCAUGGUUUGAGAAGUUGAAGGAAAGAAGGAGAUGGUUUGCCGUUGAAACUGAGUUCUGGAUGAACUCAGGUUCGGCAGCCGAAAGUUCAUUCGGCCGCCGAACCUCUUGCAUGGUGGCUUAGGCUGCCACAGCU